UACAGAGGGGGCAAGCGUUGUUCGGAAUUACUGGGCGUAAAGGGCGCGUAGGCGGCCUGUUAAGUCGAACGUGAAAUCCCUGGGCUCAACCCAGGAACUGCGUCCGAUACUGGCAGGCUUGAAUUCGGGAGAGGGAUGCGGAAUUCCAGGUGUAGCGGUGAAAUGCGUAGAUAUGUCGGAGGAACACCGGUGGCGAAGGCGAUCCCUGGACCUGUACUGACGCUCAUGCACGAAAGCGUGGGGAGCGAACAGG
rnacentral:rRNA from 1 species